AUUGAACGCUGGCGGCAGGCCUAACACAUGCAAGUCGAGCGGAUGAAGGGAGCUUGCUCCUGGAUUCAGCGGCGGACGGGUGAGUAAUGCCUAGGAAUCUGCCUGGGAGUGGGGGAUAACGUCCGGAAACGGGCGCUAAUACCGCAUACGUCCUGAGGGAGAGAGUGGGGGAUCUUCGGACCUCACGCUAUCAGAUGAGCCUAGGUCGGAUUAGCUAGUUGGUGGGGUAACGGCCUACCAAGGCGACGAUCCGUAACUGGUCUGAGAGGAUGUACAGUCACACUGGAAGUGAGACACGGUCCAGGCUCCUACGGGAGGCAGCAGUGCGGAAUGUUGGACGAAGGGCGAAAUCCUGAUCCAGCCAUGCCGCGUGUGUGAAGAAGGUCUUCGGAUUGUAAAGCACUUUAAGUUGGGAGGAAGGGCAGUAAGUUAAUCCCUUGCUGUUUUGACGUUACCAACAGAAUAAGCACCGGCUAACUUCGUG
rnacentral:rRNA from 1 species